GGGUGUGAUCAUACCAGCACUAACACACCAGAUCCCAUCAGAACUCCGCAGUCAGGCGUGCUUGGGCGAGAGUAGUACUGGGAUGGGUGACCCCCUGGGAAGUCCUCGUGUUGCAUCCU